UCUGGGGAGAACUGCAAUCACACACCUCUGUGAGUAGUUCAGACUUGGAUUUCUUGUCCGCAGGAGAGGCGCAGCCUGGUUUGCUGCAAUGCAACUGUCCUCAUUCAUGUACUUCAAGUCCUGACAUACUGGGACUACCAUCAUCGGCAAGUUCUUGUUACCCAACUCCUGCUGACAACAAGGGAACAGGCGCAAGUCAGCUCAGAAAAUGAACGACUAGAAGGCUGGGGUCACAAGUUGGAUUUGGAAGAAGCAGCUUUCAUGCAGAGAUGUGACUGGAAUAUGAAUACUAUUCCAGGGUUUCUUUACAGAUGAAACCAAUGAAGUGUCCUGAAGUCUAGUAACUACUCAAUACCAGCAACUUAUAUGACCCUCUGUGCUACUACUGCUGCUUUGAACCAAUUUAUUUAGUCAUUUGGACUUUAACUACUCAGAGGCAUUCCUUCCUGCUGCAACAGUAGGAAGGUGUGUUAUAAACCAUGCAGUCAUUUCCAUCCUGGAUUUCAUGAGGAGUUGUUCUUGUCUCAGAGGUGACUCAUUCAAAUAUCCUUCUACAGAUUCCAGGUACAACCUCAGCUCUGGCUUGAGAUCACACUGUUAAGCAAUGAGGUGACAAACUGGUUUCCUUUCUCAAGCUGAAUGUCACGUAACCGCCCAGGGGCCCGUUUUGGUGGCGGUAGCGUCCCUUGACUUUUCAAGGAGAGAUGUGCCUGUGCAACCCGUUCCCACCCUGUAUGCUUGGCAGGAGGAGACAAAACUGCUCAUUUCCAUCUGUGACAUUUCUCAGCCAGGAAGAAAGCCACAAGGCAUCAGACUGUAGGCUGAGAGGCAUCAGAGCAGCCUGACACAGCAGACACUGACAAAGAAACCUCCAAAAACCAUCAAGUGGAGAUGAAUUUCCAGGGCUACAGCAAGCCGAUAUGAAGGGUGAUGGUACCUUUCUACCCACCCAACAAGGUUUGUUACUCCUUGAUGGGGCAGCAGAUGAACAUAUCCAAGCCCAAAUGCUCUGCAGUUGAUAGAUCUACUUUAGUGAAGAGAACCCUGAUCAGUGAUGAGUAUUAUAGGAUAAUACAAGCUGCAUCAUUAAAAGAAGUCCAAAAGGCCCAAGGAGCAGUGCAGAGCAUCUGUUACCAACAAGAAAAUAGUGGUUGAAAAGCUGUUGUAAUUCCUGGCCCCGGGAGCCCGUCUGGAGGCACAGACUUCCCGAGGCAGAGGGGAGCUGGAGAACUUGGGAUGUUAAGCGAGAUCUCACCCCCCCCCGCAGAUUUACCAGGUCAGCUCAGUCCAGGCCAAAGGAGCGGGGUAAGGUCCUCAGCUCUACUCCAAGUUCAUUGCUCUACUCAUUGUGAAGAAGUAUUUAUAGUAGAUCAGGAUCUUGAACCGAGACUGGCCUACCAGCUGAAGCUGUAUGAACUAAAUCGUAUAUUCCCCAACUACAGACAAAACCAAUGGUCAAUUUUAGCCUAAUCAUCACUUCUGUCAGAGGAAAGAGAAACUCUUUGAGGUAAGUUCCCUUGGAUAUAAUUCUUUCUUUCCAGGUUAAAGAAAGGCUGCAGCUAAUACACAUCCUGAGUCGUAAUGUGGAUUUGCACCUUUCUGAUUAAAUAUAGCUGGUUCGUGUCCAAAGCAUCGCUUCUAUUCCUAAUGCUCACUUAUAUUGUUACAACUUCUACAUUAGUUGCAGGUGUGAAAUGCCAACUGAUCCACACUUCUCUUGCUGUCAGCAGGAGAAUAAUGUAUGUCAAAGGCCUGAUUCUCAGAGGUGAGGUCACCAGGAUCUCCAUUUGCACAUCUGCUUUGCUAAACACAAAACUCUGGAGAUUUGCAAAGCUCCAAUAUGCGCAAAACGGGAUGGGUUCACUGAGGGCCAUACAUAAGAAACUGUUUGUGCUUCUCAUUUAGUAGGCAGGUGACAGAGUUUUCCCUCUAUACAAGCUACUUGCUGUUUUACAACAGGCAGCAUUUUGUUAGUCUUCAUACGUGGAUACUUGUAUGUCCUAUAUUAAUAAGGAAAAAGGCUACACUUCUUCAUGUUACAUGAUACAAGAGAAGUCAGGAUACCAACAGGUUAAAAAAGAGCCUAAUACAUUAAGCAGCUUCAAAGAGAUGCUAAUAUUCAGUGUGUCCUUGCUUGGACUGUGCAGAUAUUGAGAUCAGGAGACUGCCUGAUCAGAGCUCCUGGAAGGACAAUGCUGCUGGAGCCUGCCUUACACAGAGGCAUCCAGAUUUGGUUUUGAGGGUUUCAAGAGAAGCAUUCAAAUAUUUCUACUUCCUGCUGUUAGUGGAUUUUUUUUCGUACCUUGGAAAAAGUCUUCUGAUUGUAACGUGUUUGCACUUGAUGCCUAGAUAAUGGUUCUUGCUCAGGGACCUCUACUACACAGUGUUUUCUGCCUUCUACAUUUUACGUGAGAUCAAAGACUAAUCAUAUAUAUAUAUAUAUGCCUAAUUCUUUCUUGAUUUCUGCUAAUCUAGAAUGUCCUUCAAUAUCUGCAAUAAAGAUUCCCAC